AACAAGGCGUACCUGCGGACCUGCGGAGGGAUCAUUACAAGUGACCCCGGUCUAACCACCGGGAUGUUCAUAACCCUUUGUUGUCCGACUCUGUUGCCUCCGGGGCGACCCUGCCCUCGGGCGGGGGCUCCGGGUGGACACUUCAAACUCUUGCGUAACUUUGCAGUCUGAGUAAACUUAAUUAAUAAAUUAAAACUUUCAACAACGGAUCU
rnacentral:misc_RNA from 1 species